rnacentral:rRNA from 1 species
UACGAAGGGUGCAAACGUUGCUCGGAAUUACUGGGCGUAAAGCGCACGUAGGCGGCUUUGUAAGUUAGAGGUGAAAGCCCGGGGCUCAACUCCGGAAUUGCCUUUAAGACUGCAUCGCUAGAAUUCUGGAGAGGUAAGUGGAAUUCCGAGUGUAGAGGUGAAAUUCGUAGAUAUUCGGAAGAACACCAGUGGCGAAGGCGACUUACUGGACACAUAUUGACGCUGAGGUGCGAAAGCGUGGGGAGCAAACAGG